rnacentral:rRNA from 1 species
UACGUAGGGGGCAAGCGUUGUCCGGAUUUAUUGGGCGUAAAGAGCGUGUAGGCGGCCAGUCAGGUCCGUUGUGAAAACUCGAGGCUCAACCUCGAGACGCCGAUGGAAACCGACUGGCUAGAGUCCGGAAGAGGAGAGUGGAAUUCCCGGCGUAGCGGUGAAAUGCGCAGAUAUCGGGAAGAACACCCGUGGCUAAGGCGGCUCUCUAGUACGGUACUGACGCUGAGACGCGAAAGCGUGGGGAGCGAACAGG